rnacentral:rRNA from 1 species
AUUGAACGCUGGCGGCAUGCUUUACACAUGCAAGUCGAACGGUAACAGGGAGCUUGCUCCGCUGACGAGUGGCGAACGGGUGAGUAAUGCAUCGGAACGUACCCAGUCGUGGGGGAUAACGUAGCGAAAGUUACGCUAAUACCGCAUACGUCCUGAGGGAGAAAGCGGGGGACCGUAAGGCCUCGCGCGAUUGGAGCGGCCGAUGUCGGAUUAGCUAGUUGGUAGGGUAAAGGCCUACCAAGGCGACGAUCCGUAGCGGGUCUGAGAGGAUGAUCCGCCACACUGGGACUGAGACACGGCCCAGACUCCUACGGGAGGCAGCAGUGGGGAAUUUUGGACAAUGGGCGAAAGCCUGAUCCAGCCAUGCCGCGUGAGUGAAGAAGGCCUCGGUUGUAAGUACGUACUUUCUAGACGGAAAGAAAGUACGACAUCUUCUAAUACAGGUGUGGAGUGACGGUA